rnacentral:rRNA from 1 species
CGUCAAGUCCUCAUGGCCCUUACGGGCUGGGCUACACACGUGCUACAAUGGCGGUGACAGUGGGAAGCUAAGGGGCGACCUGGAGCAAAUCCCCAAAAGCCGUCUCAGUUCGGAUUGCACUCUGCAACUCGAGUGCAUGAAGGUGGAAUCGCUAGUAAUCGCGGAUCAGCAUGCCCGCGGUCGAAUACGUUCCGGGCCUU